rnacentral:rRNA from 1 species
AACGNUGGCGGCAUGCCUUACACAUGCAAGUCGAACGGCAGCGCGGGGCAACCUGGCGGCGAGUGGCGAACGGGUGAGUAAUAUAUCGGAACGUACCCUGGAGUGGGGGAUAACGUAGCGAAAGUUACGNUAAUACCGCAUACGAUCUAAGGAUGAAAGUGGGGGAUUCGCAAGAACCUCAUGCUCCUGGAGCGGCCGAUAUCUGAUUAGCUAGUUGGUAGGGUAAAAGCCUACCAAGGCAUCGAUCAGUAGCUGGUCUGAGAGGACGACCAGCCACACUGGAACUGAGACACGGUCCAGACUCCUACGGGAGGCAGCAGUGGGGAAUUUUGGACAAUGGGGGCAACCCUGAUCCAGCAAUGCCGCGUGAGUGAAGAAGGCCUUCGGGUUGUAAAGCUCUUUUGUCAGGGAAGAAACGGUCUGUUCUAAUACAGCGGGCUAAUGACGGUACCUGAAGAAUAAGCACCGGCUAACUACGUGCCAGCAGCCGCGGUAAUACGUAGGGUGCAAGCGUUAAUCGGAAUUACUGGGCGUAAAGCGUGCGCAGGCGGUUUUGUAAGUUUGUCGUGAAAUCCCCGGGCUCAACCUGGGAAUGGCGAUGAAGACUGCAAGGCUAGAGUUUGGCAGAGGGGGGUAGAAUUCCACGUGUAGCAGUGAAAUGCGUAGAUAUGUGGAGGAACACCGAUGGCGAAGGCAGCCCCCUGGGUCAAAACUGACGCUCAUGCACGAAAGCGUGGGGAGCAAACAGGAUUAGAUACCCUGGUAGUCCACGCCCUAAACGAUGUCUACUAGUUGUCGGGUCUUAAUUGACUUGGUAACGCAGCUAACGCGUGAAGUAGACCGCCUGGGGAGUACGGUCGCAAGAUUAAAACUCAAAUGAAUUGACGG